GUAGGUGGCAAGCGUUGUCCGGAAUUAUUGGGCGUAAAGCGCGCGCAGGCGGUUCUUUAAGUCUGAUGUGAAAGCCCACGGCUCAACCGUGGAGGGUCAUUGGAAACUGGAGAACUUGAGUACAGAAGAGGAAAGCGGAAUUCCACGUGUAGCGGUGAAAUGCGUAGAGAUGUGGAGGAACACCAGUGGCGAAGGCGGCUUUCUGGUCUGUAACUGACGCUGAGGCGCGAAAGCGUGGGGAGCAAACAGGGAUUAGAUACCCUGGUAGUCCACGCCGUAAACGAUGAGUGCUAAGUGUUAGGGGGUUUCCGCCCCCUUAGUGCUGCAGCUAACGCAUUAAGCACUCGCCUGGGGAUACGGCCGCAAGGCUG
rnacentral:rRNA from 1 species